AUAAAGGACUUGUCUAGGGGAGAGCCUAUGGAUCUGAGAACGCUGUCUGGGCUUGGUGCCAAGGGCUGGUAUUUCACAGCAGCGAACGCCUCACAGACGAGCUGUGGGAAGCAGGAGGGAGACUCUCUCUUAGGGUGCCACUACUAUGGAGACACAGCUGGGCUGAACAAGAUUUGCUUCAAACAACAAGAAGAGAGACAGAAAGUAUCUGGUUCAACCGCUGCCUGAGCAGGCAGGCACCAGAAGAGCUAGCAGCCAAUCCGGCCAUGCUCGAAGCCAGCUCUGCAGCUCAGCCAAUCAGUGACAUCACUGCUUUCUUUAGCUUGCCCAUGGUGAUGUGAAGAUGAGAAGGAAUAGCAAGGCCCAACCAGUUCUUCAUCUGAAGACAGCUCAAUGUUCUGCAAACCAGAUCUUCCUGAAUUUUACUGGGAUACUUUUCCAAAUAGAAUUCCAAGCAUUCUAUUCAAAUGGAUAUCCAUCAAAAUUCAUCAGAGAGUGUUUUACUACCGAGCUACAAAGGGAAAAACUUAAAAUGGAUAUGAAAAGUGAAGAAAGUGGUCAUAGGAGAAAACCAUUUCAGGUGUCUGGUGAUUUGUGAGCAUCAAGUGACUACUCUGUGGAAUCCUCUGUCCUUGCCUUUGAAUUAGCUUUCCCUAGGCCAUGAGUCAACAUUAGUAGUUUAUACAUCCAAAUUGAUGACAAGAGCACCUCAAUGAUAGCAGCCUCAAGGAGUAGUCAUGGCCCCAGAGUUAUCCCACGGAUGCAGAGAACUUAGUGGAGGUGGCCGAGGUCAGAAUGGGAAGAGUUUUUAAAAAGUAAAAAGAGGAGCUGAUAUGUGAGGACUGAUUGCUGUGCAUUAUUUUCCACUGAAUUGACCUUCUUUUAGUUUCUAAUCUCAAGCACAUAGCACCUGUUGUUUUCAUAUUAAAGAACAAUGUUUGUUGAAUGAAUAUAUAAAUUCUUCCCAAAUCUCUGUUCCAUGUGGUAAGAACUCAGCAUUCAAUUAUAAAGAGGACUUAGAAAGUCUGCAAGCAUUUUUGAUUAAAAAAAAAAAAGAAGAAAAGAAAAGAAAUCCUUUUAACUGUCUUCUCAUGGUUCCCAGUAAUGUCUAGGCCCAAAAAACUCGGGUUGUUUCUUGCUGUACUGUUGCAAUCGCCUCAUGAUAAUUGUUCUUCUCCUUUAUCAACCAUAGUCAUCUCCACUACAUAAAGAAGAGAGGGUGCUAAAGUGUAAAUUGUUUCAAAUCAGCAGCCUCCUCAUAAUUUGCCAGUGGUUUUCACGUCAUUAGAAUAACAAGCAAAAUUCCUUGCUUGAGAAGCCAUAUAUGACCUUGCCCCUGUCUACCUUACUGGCAUCAGCUCUCAUGACUCAUCCCCUUUCUCUCUACCUUGCCUUUUCCCAACCAUGCCUGCUAGUCAACUUUAGCCCUUGUGUUCUCUCUGCCAGGAAUUGCAUUCUCACCAGGAAUUGCAUGACUCACUUCUUUACUUUAUUCUGAUCUCUCUGCUCAAAUGUGAUCUUUAUAGAGACGCCUUUCCUAACCAUCUUAAAAAGCACCUCAUUCACUGUUGGACACCUUUCCUGCUUUUUCUUCAUAAUAUGUAUCACUUCCUGACAUUGUAUUAGACAGCCACCAAAUAAGUAUAUGCCUAUAUGCUGUUCCCACUAAAAUAUAAGCUCUUUUUGAACAGGAGCCUGGAUUAUUUGUGAGUAUAUCUCUAGUGCCCAAAACCUAGUAGGCUGGUCCUUAUUAGGGCUUUAAUAAAUAUUGGAUUCAUUUGUUGAAUGAAUGAAUAAUUGAAUAAGAAUAUCCAGGUAGAGUAUCUGGGCAGCCCAACCUAUUUGAAGCCCGUACAACGUUUCUCUGACAUAGUGAAUGCAAUUAUUCUUCUACAUGAUGAAAUUACAUGAGUACAUGAGGAUAAAGUUUAGCACAUAGUUUAGAUUUCUUCAAGUCUCUUCCUUAGAUUAAGGAAAAACAAAGAAAUGGAGCUUAUUCCUACCUCAUUCUUACGUGAACUAAAUCCAGAAUAAAGCAUCAUCCAUAUACCAGACACAUCCCUACGCCCCAGCCACUCAUGGAAUACUUUAUCUGUAAAGGGGCAGAUAGUAAAUAUUUUUGGCUUUGGGGACCAUACAGUCUGUGUCACUACCACUCAGCACUUCUGUUGAGGUGUGAAAUCAGCCUUAGACAACACAUAAACAAAUGGGCGUGGCUGUGUUCCAAUAAAAUGUUACUUAUAAAACCAGAAAAUCAGCAGAUUUAGCACACAGGCUCUAGUUUGCUGACCCAUGAAUUAGAGAGUCUUCCACCAAAUCCUCUUCCCAAGUUAUUGACAGAAUGCCCAUAGGACCAUGGCUCCCGCACUUGGUUCUUUCAUGAAAUGAGACAAAUUCAGGGAUAGCUGGAGGGCAGAACAGCUACCUGUGACAAGACUAUCGAACCUGAUUUCUUGCCUUUUAUCUCUUUAAACUGAAUCAUGUCUUAACUAUAAACUGUGUCUAAAGUAGCAAUAACUGGGCCAUGUCAAAUACUCCCAAUGACAAAAUUUCUUCUUGGAGAAUGAACGAAGGUUGCAUACAGCAGUAUGUUGGUAUAUGUUUAGCAACUGGCUCUCUUACUGAUUUCUAUAGUGUAAAUUCUCCCAUCCUAGCCAUCUGAAACUACCAAUAUGAUGUCACUUAAUGUAGAGUUGGGAAAAGACAGUCUCUUGAGUCAGUAUGGGCUGGUCCCAGCCCACUGCUGAAUACAUAUUUAAAAGCUACAAUAGCUCUGCCAUUGCAGUCUGCAGGAAAGAGCAGUGGACUUGAUAGGAGUAACUGGCUGGAUAGUCUUUUGGAAUGCCAAUAAAUAAUGCAAAAUGUAAAUAUAAUGCUCUAUAGAAAGCUCUCAAGUUCAGUGCUUGGUUAAAAUACAUACUCAGUAAAUGGUAGCUAUUAUUGUCUUAGUUUAACUUAUUGCAAGCAUUAAAAUUAAAUGUUUAGCUACAGACUCAAUCCAAUUUUAAUGUCAUUGUGUCAGUAAGGCCUCUUAACAUUGAAGCAACAAAGAUAAAGGAAUUUUUUGUAGCUAUUCACAAUUCUGCCCAGCUCAAGGUAAAGAUAGCAGCAAAAUACUCCAACUAGAAUAAAAGAAGUCUCCACUUGACUGCAGCUCUUCACAACACUUCACAAGGGUCAAGCUGUGUUAGUUUCCUUCAGUGUUAAACAGAAUGCGUCUUAGAAGAAUAGCUCAAUUAUUGAUUGAAUAGUAGGUUCAAGUUAACUGUAAUCCCAACUUAAGACCAGGGAUGGGUCAACAGAAGGCUAAAAUUUUCUAAUCAAGCCUUGAGGCAAACACUCAGAAAUAGUAAUAUGGAUAUCUUAUAUUAUUUUGUCACAUAUAAUACUGUUGCAGCCCAGUUGUGCAAAACUGGUAAAAUAAAAGGCAAAAAUAUUGACAUCAGUUUGGGUAACUGGAUUCCAAAAUGAACAUCCAUCUAAGA